rnacentral:rRNA from 1 species
AGUGAACGCUGGCGGUAGGCCUAACACAUGCAAGUCGAACGGCAGCACAGUAAGAGCUUGCUCUUCUGGGGGGCGGGAGGGGGCCGGGUGAGGAAACUAUCGUAAUCUACUUUUUGGUGGGGGUUAAGGAAGGGAAACUUACGCUAAUACAGCAUCGCCCUUAGGGUUGAAAGCGGGGGACCUUUGCGCCUGGCGGGGUUGAAUGAGCCGAUUCCGGAUUUGUUAGUGGGCGGGGUAAAGGCCCACCAAGGCGCGGAUCCGUAGCUGGUCUGAGAGGAUGAUCGGCCACACUGGAACUGAGACACGGUCCAGACUCCUACGGGAGGCAGCAGUGGGGAAUAUUGGACAAUGGGCGCAAGCCUGAUCCAGCCAUACCGCGUGGGUGAAGAAGGCCUUCGGGUUGUAAAGCCCUUUUGUUGGGAAAGAAAAGCAGCAGGUUAAUACCCCGCUGUUCUGACGGUACCCAAAGAAUAAGCACCGGCUAACUUCGUG